rnacentral:rRNA from 1 species
GGCUCAGGAUGAACGCUAGCGACAGGCCUUAANACAUGCAAGUCGAGGGCAGCAUGAUUUGUAGCAAUACAGAUUGAUGGCGACCGGCGCACGGGUGAGUAACGCGUAUGCAACUUACCUAUCAGAGGGGAUAGCCCGGCGAAAGUCGGAUUAAUACCCCAUAAAACAGGGGUCCCGCAUGGGAAUAUUUGUUAAAGAUUCAUCGCUGAUAGAUAGGCAUGCGUUCCAUUAGGCAGUUGGCGGGGUAACGGCCCACCAAACCGACGAUGGAUAGGGGUUCUGAGAGGAAGGUCCCCCACAUUGGUACUGAGACACGGACCAAACUCCUACGGGAGGCAGCAGUGAGGAAUAUUGGUCAAUGGCCGAGAGGCUGAACCAGCCAAGUCGCGUGAAGGAAGAAGGAUCUAUGGUUUGUAAACUUCUUUUAUAGGGGAAUAAAGUGGAGGACGUGUCCUUUUUGUAUGUACCCUAUGAAUAAGCAUCGGCUAACUCCGUG